rnacentral:rRNA from 1 species
UACGUAGGGGGGCAAGCGUUGUCCGGAAUCAUUGGGCGUAAAGCGCGUGUAGGCGGCCAGAAAAGUCCGCUGUGAAAACUCGAGGCUCAACUUCGAGCUGUCGGUGGAAACUUUCUGGCUAGAGUCCGGAAGAGGAGAAUGGAAUUCCUGGUGUAGCGGUGAAAUGCGCAGAUAUCAGGAAGAACACCCGUGGCGAAGGCGGUUCUCUGGGACGGUACUGACGCUGAGACGCGAAAGCGUGGGGGAGCGAACAGG